GGCUCCAAAGGCCCCAUGGUCUCGGCACAGGAGUCCCAAGCUCAGGCCAUUCUCCAGCAGGCCCGGCUGGCGCUGAGGGGCCCGGCCGGCCCGAUGGGUCUCACCGGGAGGCCCGGCCCCAUGGGUCCCCCCGGGAGCGGAGGCCUGAAGGGCGAGCCUGGAGACAUGGGGCCGCAGG